AGCAGCCGCGGUAAUUCCAGCUCCAAUAGCGUAUAUUAAAGUUGUUGUAGUUAAAAAGCUCGUAGUUGAAUUUCGGGGUCAGUAGGUUGGUCAUGCCUCCGGUAUGUACUGGUCUCACUGAUUCCUCCUUCCUGAUGAGCCGUAAUGCCAUUAAUUUGGUGUUGCGGGGAAUCUGGACUGUUACUUUGAAAAAAUUAGAGUGUUUAAAGCAAGCUAACGCUUGAAUACAUUAGCAUGGAAUAAUGGAAUAGGACGUUCGAUCCUAUUUUGUUGGUUUCUAGGAUUGACGUAAUGAUUAAUAGGGAUAGUUGGGGGCAUUAGUAUUCAAUUGUCAGAGGUGAAAUUCUUGGAUUUAUUGAAGACUAACUACUGCGAAAGCAUUUGCCAAGGAUGUUUUCAUUAAUCAAGAACGAAAGUUAGGGGAUCGAAGACGAUCAGAUACCGUCGUAGUCUUAACCAUAAACUAUGCCGACUAGGGAUCGGAUGAUGUUAUUUUUAAUGACUCAUUCGGCGCCUUAAC
rnacentral:rRNA from 1 species